rnacentral:rRNA from 1 species
AUUGAACGCUGGCGGCAGGCCUAACACAUGCAAGUCGAACGGUAACAGGAAGAAGCUUGCUUCUUUGCUGACGAGUGGCGGACGGGUGAGUAAUGUCUGGGAAACUGCCUGAUGGAGGGGGAUAACUACUGGAAACGGUAGCUAAUACCGCAUAACGUCGCAAGACCAAAGAGGGGGACCUUCGGGCCUCUUGCCAUCGGAUGUGCCCAGAUGGGAUUAGCUAGUAGGUGGGGUAACGGCUCACCCAGGCGACGAUCCCUAGCUGGUCUGAGAGGAUGACCAGCCACACUGGAACUGAGACACGGUCCAGACUCCUACGGGAGGCAGCAGUGGGGAAUAUUGCACAAUGGGCGCAAGCCUGAUGCAGCCAUGCCGCGUGUAUGAAGAAGGCCUUCGGGUUGUAAAGUACUUUCAGCGGGGAGGAAGGGAGUAAAGUUAAUACCUUUGCUCAUUGACGUUACCCGCAGAAGAAGCACCGGCUAACUCCGUGCCAGCAGCCGCGGUAAUACGGAGGGUGCAAGCGUUAAUCGGAAUUACUGGGCGUAAAGCGCACGCAGGCGGUUUGUUAAGUCAGAUGUGAAAUCCCCGGGCUCAACCUGGGAACUGCAUCUGAUACUGGCAAGCUUGAGUCUCGUAGAGGGGGGUAGAAUUCCAGGUGUAGCGGUGAAAUGCGUAGAGAUCUGGAGGAAUACCGGUGGCGAAGGCGGCCCCCUGGACGAAGACUGACGCUCAGGUGCGAAAGCGUGGGGAGCAAAC